rnacentral:lncRNA from 1 species
GUAACAGCACAACAAAUGGUGGGCCUUUUAAGAAAGUUAGGAUUCAACCUUCUUCAUCUCCAACAACCUUCAAGGUAAUCCAAACACAUAACACACAUACACUGUUAGUACUGUCUUUAUGUUUUUUGAUUGAUAAGGAGUGAUGGGUAGUGUGUUUGUCUUUCUUGAUUAUCUUUUUCUUAUACUAGUCCGAUUCUUUACUUCUUUCCUUACAAUCCAAAGGAAGAAACAAACCUAUUUGCAAACCAAGUCCUAUAAAAAGUUUUUAUUUACAUUAUAUAUAUACUUAUCACAACUGCACACAAACUGGGCGGAUGCUCCAGCAUAUAUCCCACACUGACAAAAUGACUCGCACAUUGAACUAAAUUUUACUGAUGGACUACAUGAUAAUCUGAAGCAAUGUUUGUAUACCCUUGAUUUUUAUUUAGGUUGUAAUUCGUACACGAUGGGACUAAAAAGGAAAGGAAUAGUAUUUAGAAAGUAGGAUUUAGGCACAAACUUUUCUUGAAAAACAGGAAAACUAGGAAAUACUUUAACAUGUUACUUGCAGUUCACUUAUAGCUUAAAAACCUUCAUCUUUGAUUUUGCAGGUUCACUUUAAUCUCAACACAUGAAGUAGAGCUAGAGAAUCCAUUGAAAGCGUUAAGAUUCAGAUAGAGUCGAAAAAUUCCGUGAAAGCGUUCUUGUCAUGGUAUUUGAAGUUUGAAAUUAAAAUUUGAAUUCGUUGAAUAAGGGUAUCCUUUCAAUUAAGCUUUUACUUGUAGUAUGUUAUCUACAUAAAUCUGAAAAAUAAUAGGGAAA